rnacentral:rRNA from 1 species
GACGUAGGUGGCGAGCGUUGUUCGGAAUCACUGGGCAUAAAGCGCCCGUAGGCGGCUAGGUCAGUCGGAUGUGAAAUACCUCGGCUCAACCGAGGAACUGCGUCCGAUACUGCCUGGCUUGAGGUCCGGAGGGGAGAGUGGAAUUCCCGGUGGAGCGGUGAAAUGCGUAGAGAUCGGGAAGAACGCCGGCGGCGAAAGCGACUCUCUGGGCGGAAUCUGACGCUGAGGUGCGAAAGCUAGGGGAGCAAACGGG